rnacentral:rRNA from 1 species
GCGCUAUUGGAUGAGCCUACGUCGGAUUAGCUUGUUGGUGGGGUAAUGGCUCACCAAGGCAACGAUCCGUAGCUGGUCUGAGAGGACGAUCAGCCACACUGGGACUGAGACACGGCCCAG